rnacentral:rRNA from 1 species
AGAGUUUGAUCCUGGCUCAGAUUGAACGCUGGCGGCAGGCCUAACACAUGCAAGUCGAGCGGAUGAGUGGAGCUUGCUCCAUGAUUCAGCGGCGGACGGGUGAGUAAUGCCUAGGAAUCUGCCUGGUAGUGGGGGACAACGUUUCGAAAGGAACGCUAAUACCGUAUACGCCCUACGGGGAACAGCAGGGGACCCUCGGUCCGUGCGCGAUUGGAUGAACUCAUGUGCGAUUAGCUAGGUGGUGAGGUAAUGGCUCACCAAGGCGACUAUCCCUUCCUCGUGUGAGAGGACGAUCUGCCACACUGGAAGUGAGUCACGCUCCAGAGUCCUGCGGGAGGCUGCAGUGUGGAAUAUUGCACAACGGGGGAAACCUUUAUGCAACCAUGCCGAGCGUGUGAAGACGGCCUUCGGGUUGUAAAGCACUCUCAGCGAGGAGGAAAGUUUGGUAGCUAAUAAGUACCAGCUGUGACGUUACUCGCAGAAGAAGUACCGGCUAACUCCGUCCCCGCAGCCGCUGUAAUACGGAGGGCGCAAGCGUUAAUCGGAAUUACUGGGCGUAAAGUGCACGCAGGCGGUUGGAUAAGUUAGAUGUGAUAGCCCCGGUCUCCAUCUGGGAAUCGCAUUUAAAACUGUCCAGCUAGAGUCUUGUAGAGGGGGGUAGAAUUCCAGGUGUAGCGGUGAAAUGCGUAGAGAUGUGGAGGAAUACCGGUGGCGAAGGCGGCCCCCUGGACAAAGACUCACGGUCAGGUGCGAAAG